AAGAGGUGUAUGAACACCUAGAGCUGCUAACUCGAACAACUGCAGAUAAAAUCUACAGACCUCUU
rnacentral:tRNA from 1 species